rnacentral:lncRNA from 1 species
CAUGAAUAUCCAAAUGACAAAACAAUUAUUUUUUACAUAUCAUAUUGUUCACCAUGGCUGGUAAUCACAAUUGUCUCAUUACUGUCUAUUGUUUGGAUCAUACUUCUCUCUUCCAACUUCAUAUCCAAUUCAACCUGUAGAAUUCUCAUUUCAUGUUCUUCCUUCAGAUAUUUCAUUUUAUGCUCAUGAAAUUCUCUGGUUAACGUUUCAUGCAUGGUCAUCUUCUUUGUUCUCUGCUGAAAGGUGGUGGCAGCAUCUUCUCUCAGGGAUGUUAUAGCAGAUGUGGAGGGUUCACACUCACUGUGUACUGGCUCUUCCAACCUGUUCACAUUACACCCUCACUGUGUACUGGCUCUUCCAACCUGUUCACAUUACACCCUCACUGUGAACUGGCUCUUCCAACCUGUUUACAUUACACCCUCACUGUGUACUGGCUCUUCCAACCUGUUUACAUUACACACUCACUGUGUACUGGCUCUUCCAACCUGUUCACAUUCCACCCUCACUGUGUACUGGCUCUUCCAACCUGUUCACAUUACACCCUCACUGUCUAUUGGCUCUUCCAACCUGUUCACAUUACACACUCACUGUCUACUGGCUCUUCCAACCUGUUCACAUUCCACCCUCACUGUGUACUGGCUCUUCCAACCUGUUCACAUUCCACCCUCACUGUGUACUGGCUCUUCCAACCUGUUCACAUUACACCCUCACUGUGUACUGGCUCUUCCAACCUGUUCACAUUACACCCUCACUGUCUACUGGCUCUUACAACCUGUUCACAUUCCUUUCCUCUGGAAAAAGAACACGGUUAGUGUUAAAGGAAUUUUAUAUCUUGAUGAUAAUAAUCAAUAAUCAAUUCGCCUUGACUAAUGCCCAAGGUUUGUAAGACAAUGGGUUAAAAUAAUUAGGAACUAAUCAGACUAAUCGAUCCCUACAUUGAUCAUUACAUUGAUUAUUCAUUAAACCUGCUGUAUGACUAAUAAUUCAUCAUGGUUUAUUGAUUCAUUUACAUUUAUUAGAUAAUUCUCUUAUCAAUUCCACCCUUAAAUGAUUCAAUAAUUCACCAUGAUAUGAUCAGAUGCUAUCUGAGAACCCUACUAAUCACACGCUAUAUGGAAAUACAUCACACGCUAUAUGGAAAUACAUCACACGCUAUAUGGAAAUACAUCACACGCUAUAUGGAAAUACAUCACACGCUAUAUGGAAAUACAUCACACGCUAUAUGGGAUCACAUAAUGAUUAUCACAUACUAUGAGUAUUCACUAACAAUCACAGGCUAUAUGGAAAUUCAUUGUGAUACCGGGAUUUAAACAAGUCCAAUACAUGAAUAUUCCUCCUAUUCUUCCAUUACUGUCCUAGGCCUAUUUCCAAUUAUGACACUUCUGUUCAGGAUUUUCAACAUAAUUUUCAUUAAAGGAACAGUCUAUCAAAACAUUGAAAAUUCUAUCUAAACGUUGAAAAUUGUUUCAUCAAACAUUGGCUCCUCGUUAUUGAAAGAAACGGAGCCAUCUUCCUGGCCUGGAGGCCCGCAUUCGCCAUCCCACUGAUCGGAGCUCGGAAUUGGUCCAUAUCUCACCAUCUGCUGCGUCAUCGAUCUCUCUAGAGUCCUGGUGAUUAAACCUCUCACACAUGGGACGAGACAACAUCCACACAACACAAACACACUCAUACAGGUGAAAGCAGCCCAUAAUACAGUUCUUACAACACUUUUCCAUUUCCCAAACAUGGGAUGUGUUAUCAGGAAUGUACGUGCAGCAAUGAACCUAAUCAUUCUACCUACACUGCCCUCUUCUGCCAGUAACAUAUCGAGAGUCAGUCUAUUUUACCAGGUCAUGAGGGAGGUGGCGGAUAAUUGGUCAGAGAACCUCUUUACUGCAUCCCCGUUUUCAUUCAUGAAUCUCUGUUGAUUAUAAAAAAAUGUCAUUAAUCCAAUCCACAUUUCUAUUUAUUGUCAACCACCAAAAUAAUGUAGUGUUAAAGCCUUCACAUAUUUGAUUCAUAGCUUUGUAUUCAUCUGGAACUUCCCUGAAGAUGCCAAUAGCAUCCAUCUAGACAAAGCUACUCCCAUCCUGGUCAAAACUCCUCCUGUGCCUACUUUAGCCUCCUAUAACUGGCCUCUGAUGACUAAUUCGAACUGGUUGGACCAAUAACCCCAGGGCGCAAGUUUCUAACCACCCUUUGUGGUAAUUUCUGUCAUAUGCGUCCUUUACUGGUACUAGCCCACCCUUCAUCAGUUAUAGGUGCUGUGAGGUUAAGAAUGUUCUAUUCAUCUCUCAAACCUAAGUCAGUCACAUUACCAAUUACCUUUCAGUCAUUAAAAUCAUCUUAGUUCUCGGUGCCAUUCUUGUAUCUAUAACACUGGUGCUCAUCAGGAAUUUAGGUGAACCGAGGUGGGUUGGCUGAAUACUUCAAUCUGGCCAACCCCAAUUCCUGUACAGUUGUCUGCUUCCCCAGGAACUUGUUUAAUGUUUACCUAAAAUUCGACAUCUUUUUCUUCUUUGACUCCUUAUUCUGUAAGUCACUCAUCAGUGUAUUAUAUAGUUUAUCUUCUACUUCUUCUCAAUGACAACGGUAUCCUAUGAUUAGUACCGGAAGGUGGUGGAUCUGAAUGUAUCAGAAAGGUUACCAAACUAUGAUGCAGCUCAGAGUCUCUACUCUUCCCAAAAACCGCCAACCCUCUCCUGCCCUUAGUCUCUCUGCUUGGUACCACCCCAUACUCACACCUCUAGGAGCACACACAGUGAUGAACGGUUGGGAUAGGAAAUCUUCGUUAAGGAGGUAACCCCCGGACCCUGUUGGUAUCGGUUCUUCUCCUAACUCUGUGUGUGAUCAGCAGUGGAUAUGUGUACAUACCUCCUUGCAGUGGGUAACGUGGACCCAAGUGACUCUUUCAGCUUUUCUAAUGACAAAGGCAGUGGUUUAACAGAACCUGGUAUGGGCCUUCCCAACGGGGCUGCUUCCUGUCUUUUCUCCUCAGGGACUGGAUCCACACCCAGUCUCCUGGUUGGAUUGAGUGAAUCACCUUCUCCUAUAAUUCACCUGUUGGACACAAAAUCUUGGACAUACGGGUUUGGUUAACAAACAGUCUUCUCAUGUGCUCUGCUAGUAUUUCUUCAACUUCUAUGUCUACCUGUUCUGGUAUCUCUAACUCUGGCAUUCUAUAGGCUCUACCUGAUUAGCUAAACUGUCAUCCAUCAUUUAAAGAGAUGGCUCCUAGUAAACCAACAUUAGGGAUAAUAUCUUUACCUAAUAUUUUAGCUACCAUAAUCAUGUCCACCAAGUAAGUUGGGAACGCUUCUACCCAUUUGCUAUACUUAUCUAUUCUUGUUAAACACCCCUUCUUCCCCUCAAUUCGGAAUAGUUCAAUAAGUCCAAUUCCAAAUGUUGGAAUGGAUCUUCUUACAAUUUUUUUUAUUUUUUAUUUAAGUAAUUAUCCUCUAGGCCAUCACUCUUUCCUAACUACUCUACUAUACUUCCCUCCCCUUGAUACAUUGCUUAGCCUAUGUAUCAAUAUUGCUGCGUAUCCAUACAAUGUCUUUGGUAGGAUAAGUAAAUUAUCCUUCUGUCAGACCUUCUCUUAUAGAAUGCCCCCUUUCAUUUUCCACAUGUCCAAUUCUCCCUGGGGCAUUCAUCCUCGGCUAUUCUGUAACAAUUCUCUGUCAAGUGUUUUAUCUUCUUUAAGAUGUAUCUAUGCUGCUUUGUAUGGUUUUAAAUGUCUAUGUGCUUGUCUGUGUAAAUAGUAACUUUUCUCUCCUUUCUUAUUUCACCGGUUCUAGUCAAUGCUACUAUUUCGGCCUACUGUGCAGAAUAGUGUCUGGGCAAUGGUUCAGUGUCUAACACCUGAAACCAACUACGCCCUUUUAGUUAAGGUAACAAUUACUUUCAACAAAAUUAUCAUAUCUCCUCCUAGCGAAUUUACCAAACAUAAAAUUAAAAUCAAAACUAAAAUACAUGCCUAUGGAGCCGAUAGUCUCUCCAUGAAUUAAUAUCCUAAAGCUAAGUGAACCAAAUUCUCUUCCUAUCUACUCCUGCUGGCCCCCUCCUUUCUUCCUGCUACUCCCCAACCCUCAAGGUUUCAGCAGUGCAGGGGAGGAUCUCUCUGUCUGCCCUUCUAUCUGUCUCCAGCUUUUUUUUUUGUUCUAACAGAAAGUAUCAAAUAUGGGUUGUUUCCAAAUAUUGACUAAAUGUCUCAUUGUCUCCUUGGUUGCACUCCUGAACUUUAGAAAAAUCAACAUGUCUAGAUAUUGCAUAUCUACUUAAAUUUAUCUCAAUACCCUCAAUAAUCCUGGAUCGCCUACAGAUGUCAUAUAUCCCUGUCCUGUUGACAUGUCUACCAUUAUUAAACCUAUUCACCACAAAAUAUAGUAAUACUAGUAUAUCAAUUCCACAGCCUUGUUGUGUUAAAUCUCUUACACUGAAUUCAACAACAGCUGACUUCCUAAGGAAAAAUAAACUUAUCUAGAUAAUGUAAAAAAUACCCCUGCUACUGGUCAAAAUAUUUUCAAAUAACAUAAUCAGAUCAAAAUGACUAAUCUGAUUUACUCCACCAAGAAAAAUUAUUUUACCCUUAAUGUUCUAGGAAAAUAGACUUAAGGAAGCCUACCCUUAGUCUAAGGCUUUGCCCUUUUAGUCCUAUCAUUGGUUCAAAUUAUCAAUUGUGUCUAAGAGCUUUAACUCCAUCAUAAUUAUCAGUUCUACAAAUUCCCUUAAAAUCAAUAUCACCAAUGACCUUAAAUUCACCAUCCAAAUGGCUUUUCAAUGUGGCUGAUCAGACCACACAGGGAAGCCACUAGAGGGGUCAAAAAGUCAUACCACCCUUUCAGAACCGUGUUUCUUACUACAUUAAACAAAUUAAGGCUUAGAACUUCAUCUACAUUUUGUAUCCCAGGUUCCCAGAACAUUCCCUAUCAAAAGAAUUUCAUGUGUUUAUUAAAACUUCAGAAAACAACAUUUCCAAAAUGCCGUGUGUAUACCCCUUUAAGAUAUCAUGUCCCUAGGAAUUUUUUAUUUAUUUAUUUUUUCCAAAGAGAGCUAAGCGCUUCUUUUUCCAUAAAAUAACCACUUGGUCAGCGUUUCAUCCUACCACCCUGAUUCAGAAACCCCAAAGUUGACUAUAAACAAAACCUAAUAAUACUUAUAAUUCCAUUGUACUCCCCCCCAUCAUUAGUUUUAAACUUCCUCAAUGGUUUAUGUGAUUGAACAUGCCUUUCUGUGGGUGCCUGACCUCUCUGUAUUUGUCUCGACCCCCUCUCUGGCCUCUCUUACUUCCCUCAGAUCCCGAGGUUCUGUUUGGUGGCACGAUUUAUCUCGGGACGCAUUCCACUGAGGAAAGCAAUUUUUAAUUGCUGAUAAUACGGGGCAUCAAAUCCAUCCACUACCGGGGGUUCUAUUAACCCACUAUUAGCGUUGGACACGUCCUUUAAUCUCUCUAGGUAUUGGUUUAUAGUCUUAUGAAAUGUCCAAGGGUUUAAAAAAUAUAUAAUGUAUAUCGCCACAAUUCUGUCGCAAUUAUUAAUUUCCGCUCCUUAUAAUUCAUUAGAUUUAAGUAACUGCCUUUUCCUUGAUUCCGUCAUUCAAAUACAACUCCCAUUCUCUAUAAAUCCUUUAAGCAGGCCAUUUAGACCACAAACAACGUACUUCAUCGAAUUCGCCUCGCUAUUAUUUUGAAAGAAUCUGUCUUCCUAUUUAAACUAAACAAGCUAUCAAAACAUUCGGUUUCUAUCUUAAACAAACACUAACAACCGUAUCGUUCCAGCCAAAACAUAACAAGAAUUACAUUUAAUUUUAGUCCCAUGGGCUGGGAUCCAAACACGGGUCCCCCGCAUGGCAGGCAAGAAUUCUACCACUGAACCACAAUGCUAUUGUUCAUGUUUACAAUUUCGGUAGUUGUGUCCUACUCGGUCACAAUGUGCACAGGGUGUUUUACAGUCUCUGGCGAAAUGUCCUGUUCUAUCGCAAUUAAAACACAUCUCUCCGUCUUUGUCAGCGCGUCUCCCUGUUUUUCCCCUUCUGUCUACAGAGUCUCUUCUCCUCCCCGCUAUUUCCCCUAGGGUUGCUAUCAGGUACUCUGCUUUUUUCUGUUCUUUUUUAAUUCUGUUGUUUUUACCAUGCUGCUCAUAGUGAACGGCAUAUCUCUUCACCUCUGUCAGAGUUGCUAUUCCCCAUCCUACUAGAGUCCUUUUUAUGGCACGACUUAUCUCUGGGCGCAUUCCACUGAGGAAAGCUAUUUUCAGUUGCUGGUGAUAUGCUGUAUCGUUCCCCUGGGCUACCGGUGGCUCUAUUAACCCACUGUUGGCAUUGAAUACCUCCUUUAAUCUCUCUAGGUAUUGACUUAUAGUCUCAUUGUCUUCUUGUUUACAUUCGUGGACCUUAUAGAAAUCUGCAAGUCGGUGAUAGUGGUCCCUCAGAUUAUUACACAGCUGUGUGAUUUUCUCGACAUACUGUCCAUCUAUCGCCCAGGGCAAUACCACCAAAUCAUUAUGUCCAGGUACCCACUGUCCCCGGACCGCUGCCCAGUCCUUCCCCACCAGCUGUCUUACUGCUCUCUCAAUUUCCCCUGUGUCUAGCUUAAAGCUGGCUGCUAGACCUUCCAGAUCUCUUCUGAACCCUUCUAUACCUGUCUUAGGAUGCACUACACCCUCUACGGCUCGAACCACAUCUCUCUGUGUCCAUGCCCUGUAUACAUCCAGAGUGGCCUGUGCCCCAUCAUCCCCAGCCCGUGGGUUUAGCAAUGCUAUCAUAGGGUACUGGCCACUCUCUCCAUCCUCUCUCAACUUCAGUAGCUCCUCUCUCUCCUUACCCUGUUCUUCCAGCAGCCUUCUCAGGGCUUUGACUGCCCUGUCCUCUUCACUAUCUACAUGUCUAUGUUCUACCAUUAACUCUAGCUUUUCUACAUCUAAACGUCCAUCAAAUUCAUACUUAUUUCUCCAUUUUGGGUCAAAAUAAAUGUUCCUUUUAUCCUUGGAUUGAAUAUAUCUCUCAUAUAUCUCUCUUAAUUCCGGGACCUCCUUUGAGGAUUUACCACCCAUAUUAUUCAAUUGCUUUCCUUGUUAUUAUGCUUAUUCUCACAAUCUAUGGGUGUGCUUUUAUUCUAUAUUUUUAAUAGUCCCUGACUACUUCCCAUAUACCCCUAAUAGUCCCAGACUAUUUCCCAUAUAUUUUGAAUAGACCCAGACUACUUCCCAUAUAUUUUUAGUAGUCCCAGACUACAUCCCAUAUCUUUUGAAUAGUCCCAGACUAUAUCGAUACGGGGUAGUUUUUUUUUUAGUAAUGGCCUCAACUACUACGAGUCAUUACGGACCCGUCCGUUUCCGAAUAGUCCCAGACUACUUCCUAUAUUUAAAAUCCUCCCUCACCUUUAUCUUGACCAAUGCUUUAUAGGAAUUUUUAGUAAGUUUAGAAUUUAACCCCAAAAUAAUGAAUAAAGAUUACUGACCUUAUCUUGCAGCUGAGAAUUCAAUGUUCGUUGAAUCUCGUCACCACCUCUGUCGCGUACCAGUUUGCCACCGGCCUGUAAAGAACCCACAGAAAAGGGCCAGGUCUUUGAUUUACGGAUAUUUCAUCCGCCCGUGCACGGUUUCAGUGUCUCCUUGGAACGACAGCGGCAGUUUUUGAGAUCCCGGUCGAAAGGACCAAUUGUUAAAGGAAUUUUAUAUCUUGAUGAUAAUAAUCAAUUCGCCUUGACUAAUGCCCAAGGUUUGUAAGACAAUGGGUUAAAAUAAUUAGGCAAGGACUCAGCUUUCUGCAAAAGGUUUCCGUAGCUUUAUUCAUGAGAACGUUCUGAGGUCAGGAUAACAAAACAGUCAUUAUAUAGUUCUUGCUUACUUACGCACAUGCAUUUACACACAAACUGUUGGUGACCUGCAUCCCCCAUAAACUUCUCACACUGUUUAUCACUAUCCAGAGCUCAGCCUGUUCUUUUCCCUCAAGGUUAGGAACUCUUUGAAGCUUUUACUCCCUUGACCAUCUGCCCCUCUAUCUCUC